GACGAACGCUGGCGGCGUGCUUAACACAUGCAAGUCGAACGGAAAGGCCUCUUUCGGGGGGUACUCGAGUGGCGAACGGGUGAGUAACACGUGAGUAACCUGCCCUUGACUUUGGGAUAACUUCAGGAAACUGGGGCUAAUACCGGAUAGGAGCUCCUGCUGCAUGGUGGGGGUUGGAAAGUUUCGGCGGUUGGGGAUGGACUCGCGGCUUAUCAGCUUGUUGGUGGGGUAGUGGCUUACCAAGGCUUUGACGGGUAGCCGGCCUGAGAGGGUGACCGGCCACAUUGGGACUGAGAUACGGCCCAGACUCCUACGGGAGGCAGCAGUGGGGAAUAUUGCACAAUGGGUGGAAGCCUGAUGCAGCAACCCCGUGUGCGGGAUGACGGCCUUCGGGUUGUAAACCGCUUUCGCUCAUGACGAAGCUUUGUGUGACGGUAGUGGGUAAAGAAGCACCGGCUAACUACGUG
rnacentral:rRNA from 1 species